UCUUGGAAUAGAACCGGCCGCACGCAACCAAAACCAGUUACAAUUUCCUUCCAACGCUAGGGUUGGUUGUCCCCAGCAUCUCUCUCCUGUACCGUCCACGCUCUCUCUCCUCUACCUUUCCGUCUUCUCAUCUGUGUGUCUCUCUCCUCCCUCCUCCUCUCUGGGUUGUCUCUCUCCUCCCUCCUUCCUAUCUAUCUAUCUAUCUGUCUGUCUGUCUCUCUGUCUCUCUCUCUGUCUCUCUGUCUCUGUCUCUCCCCACGCUCGUCACGGUGCUGGUGGCUCUUGGGUCUUUCGUUGUCGGCGGUCUUCCACUACAGAACACGAAAUUUGGCCUUCCACUGGAGAACACGAAAUUUGGCCUUCCACCGGAGAACACGAAAUUUGGCCUUCCACCGGAGAACACGAUGCUUCUCUGAAUUUCAUGGCCGUUCUUCUCUGAAUUUCUUGACUACCCAUCUCCAAUCCCCUUAAAUGGAGGUUCCAGAUAUGGAGGCAAAGAAGACUGAAAGUCAUAUGAUAUCAGCUGCUGCAUUUGUGGAAGGGGGAAUACAAGAGGCCUGUGCUGAGGCCUGCAGCAUAUGCCUUGAGGAGUUUUGUGAAAGUGAUCCUUCAGUGGUGACUACUUGCAAGCAUGAGUUUCACCUCCACUGCAUCCUUGAAUGGUGCCAGAGAAGCUCUCAGUGCCCCAUGUGUUGGCAGUCCAUUAGCUUGAAGGAUCCUUGCAGUCAAGAGUUACUUGAGGCAGUUGAACGGGAGAGGAGCUUUAGGAAUACAUCAAGAAAUGCAACUAUAUUUCAUCAUCCCACCCUUGGCGAUUUUGAAUUUCAGCAUUUACCUGUGGGUACUAACAAUGCUGAACUUGAAGAGCGUAUAAUCCAGCACUUGGCAGCCGCUGCUUCCAUGGGAAGGGCCCACCACAAUGGUAGAAGGGAAGGCCAGAGGAGCCGGUCAUCUGCUCGUGGCCAUCCACAGUGUUUUCUACUCAUCCUAGUGCAUCUCCUCUUGGUCCUGUUUCGGCCCCAGGAGGGGACAGUGAACCUGCUGAAAUAACUGUAGCAAGUCCAUCUACCCCACUUGCAUCAGAUGGGGAUGAAUCAUCACGAAGGAGUGCUCAAUUUCCUUCUGUUCAGACUGAUGGAAUUUCUCCCUCAGCAUCUGGGUCUGUACGCAUGCACAGAAAUCGUCAAGGACUUUCCCCCAGUCACUGGAACUCUACUAGUCAAUCCUCUCCAUUGAAUCAGGACCGAGCAGGACCAUCAGACCUUCAGUCCAUUUCAGAGUCUCUGAAAUCUAAGUUUAAUUCCAUGUCAAUGAGGUACAAGGAGUCUUUUUCAAGGAGUACAAGAGGAUGGAAGGAUAGGCUAUUCUCACGUAGCACUUCUAUGUCAGAACUCAGUUCUGAAGUUCGUAGAGAGGUCAAUGCUGGAAUCGCCACUGUAUCACGUAUGAUGGAACGCCUUGAAACCAAAGAUAAUAGUAGAGCCCCCGAGGCUUCUGUAGCAAAUCAUACGGCAGAUGGUUCUGCUGCAGAUCAGAGCAACCCAAACAGUGCAGAGAUUCAUGGAGAAAACCGUUUGAGUGACAACAAUAGGCCUGGUACUACUUGUCCCGCAGGUUCUGCUUCAAAUUGAUCUGUUAUUAAUUGUUUCAGCAAUGCAUCUGUCGUCAGCAUUUCAUAAUUUAAGGUUGAUCCAAGUUAGCCAUUUCACGGGACAUGGCAUGCUGAGGAUGAGAUGCUUUGCGCUUCAGGCCGGAGUUUUAAGUAUUUGAGUAUGUGAAAUUAUCGUGAUUGUGGUCUGAAUUCAAAUAAAGAAGAGGUCUUGUCAGAAGAGCUUCCAUCUGGACAGACAUUUAUAAAUGGGUAUAUUUAUGUGAAUAUGUUUAUAUGUAACCUUAAACAUGUCUGAAUGCUCUUGUAAUGGCACUGAUUUAUUAUGGAUACUGAGGAGGAGAAAUGUAAUGGAAGCCAUUCUGAGUGUACUUCCCGGUAGA